AUGCGAGGUCUGGCCUGCCCACUGACAGUGAGUUAAAGGGCCGCGGUAUACUAACCGUGCGAAGGUAGCAUAGUCAAUAGUCCUUUAAUUGGGGGCUUGAAUGAAUGGUUGGACGUGAAGAAAGCUGUCUUGUAAGUGUAGUUUUAAAUUUAACUUUUGUGUGAAAAGGCAUUAAUGGGUUAGAGGGACGAUAAGACCCUAUAAAACUUUAUAGGUGAUUGCUUAGUUUUUAGAUGUUUGGGUAAUUGGAGGUUAAACAAGUCUAUUGCGCUGGGGCGGCGGAAAUAUAAAUUGUAACUGUUUUUAAAUUGAAAUAAUUGUAAUUAGAAUUUGAUCCUGAAUUUUGGUUUAUAAGUGUUAGUUACUUUAGGGAUAACAGCGUUAUUUCUCCUGAGAGUUCAUAUCUACGGAGACAUUUGCGACCUCGAUGUUGAAUUAAAACUUUCCCCGGGAGUAGGAGAUCGGGGGGAAGGUCUGUUCGACCUUUAAAGUUUUACAUGAUUUG
rnacentral:rRNA from 1 species